GACGAACGCUGGCGGCGUGCUUAAUACAUGCAAGUCAACGAUUUUUAAGAUAGCAAUAUUUUAAAAAUAGUGGCGCACGGGUGAGUAACACGUAGAUAAUCUGCCUUUAGGUCUGACAUAACUCGUCGAAGACGGGCUAAUAUCAGAUAAAACAAUAACUUAGGCAUCAAGUAAUUGUCAAAGCUUCGGCGCCAAGAUGAGUCUGCGGACCAUUAGGUAGUUGGUGGAUUAACGAGCCCACCAAGCCAACGAUGGAUAGCUGGUCUGAGAGGAUGAUCAGCCACACUGGAACUGAGACACGGUCCAGACUCCUACGGGAGGCAGCAGUAAGGAAUAUUGCUCAAUGGGAGAAAUCCUGAAGCAG
rnacentral:rRNA from 1 species